rnacentral:rRNA from 1 species
GACAGAGGGUGCAAACGUUGUUCGGAAUUACUGGGCGUAAAGCGUGUGUAGGCGGUUUGCUAAGUCGGAUGUGAAAGCCCCGGGCUCAACCCGGGAAGUGCACUCGAAACUGGCAGGCUAGAGUAUCGGAGAGGUUGGUGGAAUUCUCGGUGUAGAGGUGAAAUUCGUAGAUAUUGGGAAGAACACCAGUGGCGAAGGCGGCUCACUGGACCGACACUGACGCUGAGGCGCGAAAGCGUGGGGAGCAAACAGG